CGUAGGAGCUGGAGCUGAAAUUUAGAAAUAACCAUUUCAUAGAUGGUAUCGAAAGCCAUGGCACUAGGUGAGAUCGCUAUAUGUGAACAUGAGUGCAAAUGAGAAAAGGCAAGCACUGAUACUCAGACUAAUACUCCAGAGCUCAGAGGAAGAGGGAGGAGUAAGAAUUCAUGGAGGACAGGUGGUUUCUUUGGAAAAUCUCUUGCCAACAGUUCCUGUAUGGAGGCAGAGAUGCAGUACUGAACAGAGAAAGGUGAAUGGUGCCGAGGCCCAACAGCAUCCCAGGCAGAUCAAGGAGCUCUGAGGCUGGGGUGGCGCUCCAGCGAUGCUUCAGACUGAGGCAAGAAGUUUGGGCAUUUGCACGCUGAACUGGAUCCAGGCUGAUUCUCUUGUUUCUGCCCUCUAGCUUAAUAAGUUGCUGUCAGAACGAGGAAGAGCCUGACCUCAGGCCUGGAUUGCAGGGCACACACGAAGCUGAAGAUCACUGAGUAGCCAAGGAGAUUUACAAUUAACUGUAAUUGCACCGUCUCCUUGGCUGAGCAGUUGGCCGUGGCUUCUAUAGGAUUUUGCAAAGCUGCUCUGUACCAGCUGAGCUCUGGGAAUCCACUCCUACAGUGACUUUUGUUUUUUUACCACUUUUUUGCUGAACAGCGUAAAAGCAGCCUACCUGGCUUUCGUGGGACAGCUGCAGCUCCAGGCAGAGAUCAUUUGCUGCCCUUCCAGCACCGAGUCUGACUACCGAGCCUGGGUGCUCCACGGCGUGCCCAGCAGGUGUUAGCCUUUCGAGGAAAUCGGAGUGGCGGGACCUUCCUUCUCACUCUUGGCUCCCGCAGCUUACGGGUUACCUGCAGCCAGUUCAGGAGUCUAUUUCCUAUCUUUGCUGGAACACCUCUUCCUGCUCUUGCUCCAGCCCAGUCCCUUCUCUUAUGCUUACAGAUUCUUUUUCUGUUUUACUACACACUCCCUUCUCUAGGCUUAUUCCUAUCAAUAUACAGAAAUCACCUAAGACAGGCCAUGCAAACUAAAAAAAGCCUAACCUUUCUCUCUCUCCUCAAGAUACCGCAGUGAUUUCCAUGCUACAUCACUAAAAUGGGUGAAAGUGAGUUCUCUCACAGCGCACCUCCUGCCAAAGCCAGGGUCAACCCUGAAUGUGAACUGUCUGAAACACUGGACAUGCUAGGCUACUUUUUCCACCCGGAUGCAUUUUUACCUUAGCUUUUCCAACACCGCACUCUCCUAUGUUUUCUUCCCACAUCCUGAUUUCCUUCAUCAGUUACUUCUCUGCGACACAGGUGCAUGUGGACAUGUUAGGAUCUAGCCUCAGCUUUCUAUAGUACCACACUUUCUCUCCCACGCUCCUCAUCUAGGCCCAUUGGAGCUUUUCACACACUGGACUCCCAAAUCAAGACACCAGUGAUGUUCUUUCCCUGAUUCCAGACUCACAGCUCAACUGUUGACUAAAUAUCUUCACUUGUUGUAUAAUUGCUGUCUCUUUUAAUUGGGAAUGCAGAUUUCAAAAUGUUACAAUCCUCUUCCAGACAAGCAACUCUAUAAAGUGGCGCGUCUCCCCAUUCUCCCAACCACUCGCCACCAUCUUGCUCAAGCAAAAGCCUGCCCAUCACUUUAGUUUUCCUCUUUGGAAACCACAAUGUGGUGAUCUUCGUCAGCUUCACCUCCUAAGUACACCUUGAAGCCGACUGUUUUUUUCUUUUCUUUCUUGACUGCUCUGAUUACGCUCGUCAGAGUCAAAUUUUACUCAUCUAUUCUGGAGCAGAGGCCAAACGUCCCUGUCAGUUCUUAACACACAAAUAUAUUUAGGCACGAAGAGAGGUGAACAGAGAUAUUUUUAAGGGAGCAGUGGUGUGAAAAAGUGGCUGAUUUCUUUAAGUAUAUUUCCUGCCUAACAUUUCCCAAUUAAACAUCAAUAUAUUUUAAAAUAG